CGCAGUGUGGUGCAGUGGUCACAAGUAAGGCUUGUAACUGAAAGGUUGCUGGUUCAAUUCCCCGCUGGGG